UAAAGUGAGUAAAAUCUAUUUUUGGGAAGGUACCAGGUAAGAAAAUUCCCCUAGGAACGAAGAUAAAAUAAGGCAAAUAAUAGUGGAACCAAAAUUCUCCCAAAUGUGCAUUCCAGUGAGCUUUAGCAUCAAGGGCGUGCCAUGAUCCCUAUCCUUCGCGAUAAAGUCAUGGAACAAAGAGGGGUUAAAUCGGGCUAUUUAAUUUAAAUUAUUGGAUUUGACCUGAUUUUUCCCUUUUAAAACCCGAUCCCCAUCUUAAAACCUCUAAAAUCCCCAAUUUUCUCUCAUUUAACAAAACCUAGUGUACCACUCCCAUACAAGUUCUCUCAAAUUUAAGUGUACCAUGCCAAGAACAUAUCUCAUGUCUUUUCUGUCAACUUCUUCAUUCACAAGCAAGUAACAUCGCCAUCCAUUGAUAGUGCUACAACGCCUAAUGCUACAACAACUGCUUCUCAAAAUUUGCAAUUUAAAGAGGAAUUAGAAUAUGAUCAUGUGGGGAGGCUACGAAUCAUCCCUUAUCAUGAUGGGUUCAUUCCAGCAUAUACCAUCAGGCAUAUGGUUAUAGAAGCAAUUAAACCAUUUUUCACAAAAUUGUGGAAUAGUUGGUUAGAGAUUCCAUGGAAAAUUACAAUUGUCAUAUGAAAACAAUUUAUGACAAAGUGUUCAUGGAGUGAUUGUCAUGAUAAUGAAAUAGACGGUAUUUUUUGGUUGAAAACAGCUCUACGGGUUAAAGAACACUUGUAUGAGGCCUGGAGGAAAUUGAUCAAACCUGGUUAGUUGAAUGAUAAAGUGUGGACUCAGUUCUUGAUAUUAUGGCACACUCCUAAAUUUAAGGGAAAGAAGGAACGAGGAAAGGAAAAUUGAGCCUCUGAAAUGGGUGGCUCGCUGCACACUGGAGUCUCAAUGAGUUUUGCUACCCACCAACAAAGACUGAAUUUCUUAAAUGGGGGAGUAGAUGUACCUAUUCCUAAGACCUUCAAAGAGACACAUAAGAAGAAAAAUUCGGACGGUACAAGAGAAGAAUGGGUUGAACCGCGUACUAAGGAAGCACAUGAUUUCAAAAAAGCAUUGAAGAUUGGUGUCAAACCCAAACUGCUUCAGAGGAUGGUACCAUGGUCCAACCAUCACCUACUGAUAUGAAUAGAAUUUGGAUAAAUGUGGUAAGUGGUCCAAAAAAGGGAAAAACCUACGGGUUUGGAGGUAACCAAUCCUUGAGUAGUUCUUCCCCAAUGUUGGCAACUUCGCUUCUAUUUCGCGAAAUGUGGAAGAAAUGGAAGCGAUGAGAACAAAAAUUAAAGCGUUGACGCAACACUGUGCCAAAUUUGCCAUGUUUGAAGCGUUAGUCAAGAAGCAUAUUCCGCAAGUAUUUGAGGAUGGGGAAGAUAGUGAAUCAGAUGAUUAGAAUGUAGCGGUUGGUUUUUGUUUAGGAUUGUGACAUUUAGACUUAAACUAUUAGAAUUGGUGUUUGUUUUAGAUUGUGACAUAUAGACUUGUCUUGAAAUGUUUAAACUAUUUGAUUCCCCUAUUUGUUUUGGAUA